UACGUAGGGGGCUAGCGUUGUCCGGAUUUAUUGGGCGUAAAGAGCGUGUAGGCGGCCAGGUAGGUCUGCUGUGAAAACUCGAGGCUUAACCUCGAGAUGUCGGCGGAAACCAUCUGGCUAGAGUCCGGAAGAGGAGAGUGGAAGUUCCUGGUGUAGCGGUGAAAUGCGCAGAUAUCAGGAGGAACACCUAUUGCGAAGGCAGCUCGCUGGGACGUUACUGACGCUGAGACGCGAAAGCGUGGGGAGCAAACAGG
rnacentral:rRNA from 1 species